GAGGGUAUAGCUCGUGGUAGAGUGCAUGUUUAGCAUGCACGAGGUCCUGGGUUCAAUCCCCAUUACCUCCA
rnacentral:tRNA from 1 species